rfam:Picea glauca, whole genome shotgun sequence.
AUAUGCCUACAACAUGGCAUUAAUGCACCAGAUCCCAUUAGAACUCUGCAGUUAAGUGCACUCAUGCUAGAGUAGUACUCGGAUGGGUGACCACCUAGGAAGUCCUAGUGUUUUACAUGCC